UACGUAGGGGGCAAGCGUUGUUCGGAUUUAUUGGGCGUAAAGAGCGUGUAGGCGGUCAGGUAGGUCCGUUGUGAAAACUCGAGGCUCAACCUCGAGACGCCGAUGGAAACCAUCUGACUAGAGUCCGGAAGAGGAGAGUGGAAUUCCUGGUGUAGCGGUGAAAUGCGCAGAUAUCAGGAGGAACACCGGUGGCGAAGGCGGUGGGCUGGCCGGCACUGACGCUGGAGGAGCGAAAGCGUGGGAGCGAACAGG
rnacentral:rRNA from 1 species